CGAGUUCCCAGGCCAGGGAGCAGAUCUGAGCCACAGUUGUGGCAAUGCCAGAUGCUGUCGAACUGGGGAUUGACCCUUCGUCCCAGUGCUCCAGAGACGCCACUGAUCCCCUUGCACCAUUGCGGGAACUCCUCCACCUGCGUCUUUACGUGGCUGUCUUCCCGCUGUGUUUGUUUGUGUCCAGAUUUUCCUCUUCUUCACCAGUCACAUUGGACCAGGGCCCAUCCUAACCCCCAGGUGUUGUCUUUGGGGAGGAAGAAGAUGGCUUGUCCCGCAGAGCACACGCUCUGCCUGCCCUUGUUCAUCCUGGGGUCGUUUUAUGAGGUGUGAGCUUAGCGAGUAUUGUUUCAAGUGCUGAGGGACAAAAGGCAAGGUGUUGUUUCUGCCUUCUAGGACUGACAGCCUGAUGGGAAACAGAAUAAAACCGUUCCCCAGAUAAAACCGUUCAAUGACAGCGGAAAGUAGGUUGGGUGGGAAUCGGGCAUGAAACAAAUAAUCCACCCUAAAGGGGGCAGAGGGCGAGGAAGGGAGGAUACGAUGGUCUGAUAAGGCCAAGGAAGCCUCCGAGGGCUUGGUCGGUUUUAAAUAAGGGGGGAGGUGAAGGGAGGGGCUCCUGGAAAAGAAAAUCAGCUGUGACUUGGGGUGGGAACGAGUGUGACAUGUAGCACUCAGAAGGAAGAGCAGGUGGGUCGGAGCAGUGAUGGGUGGCUGUCCCUGGGGGACGGGCAUCUGCCAGCAAGCAGACUCUGAGGUUGGAGACAGAGGGUGGCUAGGAAGCAGGAGGUGGUCCAGACGUGCAGAGACGCCAGACGUGGCUCCUUAGAGCUAAGGGGCUAGGGAGGAGGGUCAUCUGUGUUCUUGAGUGUGAAUCAAAUCGUCUAGAAGUUUCUGUUCUCCUGGGCAUUUAGCAAAGAGGCUUGGUCCUUGAGAUAAUGGAACCAAAAAAAUCCAAAAGGGAAAUGAUGAGGCAACCCAAUGAUGAUCAAAGGCGGGAAGCCUCUACUCCCCUAGGGCUGGAGGGACGUGAUGGGGGCCCAUCAGAUGGGAGGUGGGGCCACGUGUGUCUGCCUGGCAGGAGCUGCGGCUACUGAGGAGCAGCCACUGGCCAGGGAUGGCAUUUGGGGCAGAGGGGUGGCAACCAGCGUGUCCACCUCUUCCUGCCUUCCCGCUGUGUGCCAACCCUGCCGAGAGGCCAGCGGGUCAGGCGAUCUGGGACAGAGACCCCGGGGGAGCAGAGGGAGACCGGAGAAGGGGGCACAGAGAGAAGCGACCGGCAGAGAGGCUUGCGUGGAUAAAGGCUCAAAAUAUUGGCAUCUUCUCAUGGACUGCAGAUAAGUGGCAGAAUGACCCCAUUUUAGAAAAGAUGCUGAUUUGAAGACAAGGUGGUUCUUUUAACUUCAGAUCAUUUGAAGAGAUGGCGCACGUGCAGACGCAGGGUUUUUCCCUGAUUGCAGAAGUUCUAGGGUGUUUUGUUUUGUUUUGCUUUGCUUUGUUUUGUUUUUCUGGUCUGCUUUCAGUUCAUCCCCCGAUGGUGACUAGAAAAUGAUAUUCUUGGGAGUUCCCAUUGUGGCUCAACAGCCAUGAACCUAACUAGUAUCCAUGCGGACGCAGGUUCAAUCCCUGGCCUCACCCAGUGGGUUAAGGAUCCAGCAUUGCCAUGAGCUGUGGUAUAGGUCCCAGAUUCAGCUCGGAUCUCAAGGGGCUGUGGCUGUGGCAUAGGUUGUCGGCUGCAGCUCAGAUUCCACCCCUAGCUGGAGAACUUCCAUUUGCCAUGGGUGCAGCCCUAAAAAGAAAAAAAGUAGAAAAAUUAUAUAUAUAUAUAUAUUUUUGAUGCACAGUGACUUUUGAGAACCAUCCAUGUUAUGAAUGGAUAAACAAGAUGCAGUCUUUCCACACAGUGGAGUAUUUUUCCGACUAAAAAGGAAGGCAGCCCCAACCGAUGCCACAAGACGAGUGAACUUGGUGCAUAUUAUGCCAAGUGAAGCAAGCCCAUCGUAAAAGGACAGAUGCCGUAUGAUUCCACUUCGAGGGGGUUCCUAGAGUGGUCGGAUUCAGAGACAGAAAGCAAAACGGGGGUCGCCAGGGGCUGGAUGGGGAGAAACGGGGGCGUCGGUGUCUGAUGAGGACGGACUGUCAGUUGAGGACGAAGGCGACGUUCUGAAGAUGACAGUGGUGAUGGCGGCAGAGCACUGCGACUGUACUUAGUGGCACUGAAGCGUACUCUUAAAAAAGGGUUAAAACAAUCGGUUUUAGGUUAUCUAUAUUUUACCACCUUAAAUGAAUGGAUCCAGUCAACACCACAACACGUAUACAGUUUGAGCUUUAGAAAAUCAGGGGGAUCCCUCUGGGGUCCCCAUUUAGGUUUGGAAAUGCCCUGUUUCAAAAUCGGAAGACAGUUUUUCUCUUGGUUGCUGACAUUAAUCAGGGGCCUUCAUCCCACGUGUGAGUUUCUUCACCCCAAACCUCCAGGGGCUCCCCUGAGGACGUUGCUCACGACGACCUCCGCAGCCGUCGUCUGGUCCAGGUCCCCUCGGCAUUCGGCAGCCCUCGGCAGCAGGGCUGGUGAUGGAUUCAAGUGCAUAUAAAGUGUUUCUUUAGAAUUAGAUGAUAUCGAGCGUCCUUAUGUGCUAAGUGCUUUCCGAGCUUGGCUGAUUUCAUGCGUUUGGUUACCAGCAGGAUCUGCCUAGAGGAAUGCGAGCGGCUGAAAUAGACUUGGGUCCGCCUUUUGGAAGAAAAAGACACUUUCCGUAAACGUGGACUGUGAAGACCACUUUUGUAAGACGUGUUCCCAGGAAUUUUAUUCUGAAGUUGAAAAGGGGUAACUCCUUAGUCCUGAGUAGAUGGCACUCAUUUUAUUAUUUAUUUACUCAGCAAAUAUUUCCUAAGCAACUGCUGGGGGCCGGACACCAGGCUCGGAAAGGCUGAUGAGAUGACAAGUCGGCGGGGGCUUUCAGGAGGCCAGGAGGCGGACUGCGUUUUUCCAUUCCCCACUUGUUGAUAGCACAUGAUGCAGGGAGGGGCUCGAUCAAAAGCUAAUAACUCACUUGUCUAUUGGGGUGGGGGUGUGUGCAGACAGGUGAAUAAUGACAAUAGCAUUUGAUAGAACCCGUGUCGUUAUUAUGGGUGAAAAAGCAAACACCCAGUGGGGACUCGGGGAGGAGUGGAAAGCCAGUCCCUGAGGAAGGAAGUGGAAGUUUUCCUCAGCCGCAGAGAGUAGGCUCAUCAGCUCUGCAUUGAGAUGCCCCCUCUGGCUGGGUGUGGAAAUUAGAUGGCAUUUGGAUGCAGCGGAGGCUCAGAGGAGACGUGGUGUGACAUGCUCUGGACCCUGGUGGCAGUGGAAGGUAGAGGUAAAGGGACCGGUGUUAAAACAUAAAGAGCUGUUUGGGGAGUUCCCGUCAUGGCUCAUAGGUUAAUGAACCCGAUGAGCAUCCAUGAAGACACAGGUUCAAUCCCUGACCACGCUCCGUGGGUUAAGGAUCCAGCAUUGCUGAGAGCUGUGGUGUAGGUCGCAGAUGUGGCUCAGAUCCCAUGUUGCUGUGGCUGUGAUGUAGGCCAGCGGCUGUAGGUUCGAUAAGACCCCUAGUCUGGGGACCCCCAUAUGCUGUGGGUGCAGCCCUAAAAAGCAAAAAAAAAAGAAGGAGCUUGAUUGAUCAGUUGAGCCAGGAGAAGGGAAGCUUCAAGGAAUGGAUGAUUCCAAAGGUUUUGCCUUAGAAAACUGGAUGGAUGGUGGUUGCAUUUGCUGGAUAGGGAACGGGGUGGGGGUGGGGGGAGCAGGCUGUGUAUGUGUGCGCGCAUGUGUGUAUAAGCACACACACAUGUGAGUUUGGGUGGCGAUGGUACCACAAGGUGCCCGCGGGAUCAUCAAGCGAGGGAUCCACGGGCACCUGGCUAUGUGAGUCUGGAGCCAAAAAUUAAGAUUUUUUUUUAACUUUUAUUUUUGGGGGCCACACUCACAGCAUGCGGAAGUUCCCAGGCCAGGGAUGGAACCGGUGCCACAGCAGCAACCUGGGCUGCAGCAGUGACAAUGCCAGGUCCUCAACCACUAGGCCACCAGGGAACUCCUCGAAAUUAAGAUGUUUUAAAUCAUCAGAAUGGAAGUGGAAUGUAUGCCGUGUUAGUAGGUGAGAUAAUGCAGAGAAGUGUGUGGUAGGUGC
ensembl:lncRNA